AUUGAACGCUGGCGGCAUGCUUUACACAUGCAAGUCGAACGGCAGCGCGGGGCGACCUGGCGGCGAGUGGCGAACAGGUGAGUAAUACAUCGGAACGUACCCAGAAGUGGGGGAUAACGUAGCGAAAGUUACGCUAAUACCGCAUACGUUCUACGGAAGAAAGUGGGGGACCUUCGGGCCUCAUGCUUUUGGAGCGGCCGAUGUCUGAUUAGCUAGUUGGUAGGGUAAAGGCCUACCAAGGCGACGAUCAGUAGCUGGUCUGAGAGGACGACCAGCCACACUGGGACUGAGACACGGCCCAGACUCCUACGGGAGGCAGCAGUGGGGAAUUUUGGACAAUGGGCGCAAGCCUGAUCCAGCAAUGCCGCGUGAGUGAAGAAGGCCUUCGGGUUGUAAAGCUCUUUUGUCAGGGAAGAAACGGCUGAGGAUAAUACCUUCGGCUAAUGACGGUACCUGAAGAAUAAGCACCGGCUAACUACGUGCCAGCAGCCGCCGCAGUAA
rnacentral:rRNA from 1 species